UGGGGAAUAUUGGACAAUGGGCGAAAGCCUGAUCCAGCAAUGCCGCGUGAGUGAAGAAGGCCUUCGGGUUGUAAAGCUCUUUUGUCAGGGAAGAAACGGUGCGGGCUAAUAUCCUGCACUAAUGACGGUACCUGAAGAAUAAGCACCGGCUAACUACGUGCCAGCAGCCGCGGUAAUACGUAGGGUGCAAGCGUUAAUCGGAAUUACUGGGCGUAAAGCGUGCGCAGGCGGUUUUGUAAGUCUGUCGUGAAAUCCCCGGGCUCAACCUGGGAAUUGCGAUGGAGACUGCAAGGCUAGAAUCUGGCAGAGGGGGGUAGAAUUCCACGUGUAGCAGUGAAAUGCGUAGAGAUGUGGAGGAACACCGAUGGCGAAGGCAGCCCCCUGGGUCAAGAUUGACGCUCAUGCACGAAAGCGUGGGGAGCAAACAGGAUUAGAUACCCUAGUAGUCCCUGAGCGGGCUGGCAAGGCGCAU
rnacentral:rRNA from 1 species